rnacentral:rRNA from 1 species
AGCGCAUACGGUGGAUGCCUUGGCAGUCAGAGGCGAUGAAAGACGUGGUAGCCUGCGAAAAGCUUCGGGGAGUCGGCAAACAGACUUUGAUCCGGAGAUCUCUGAAUGGGGGAACCCACCUAGGAUAACCUAGGUAUCUUGUACUGAAUCCAUAGGUGCAAGAGGCGAACCAGGGGAACUGAAACAUCUAAGUACCCUGAGGAAAAGAAAUCAACCGAGAUUCCCUUAGUAGUGGCGAGCGAACGGGGAUUAGCCCUUAAGCUUCAUUGAUUUUAGCGGAACGCUCUGGAAAGUGCGGCCAUAGUGGGUGAUAGCCCCGUACGCGAAAGGAUCUUUGAAGUGAAAUCGAGUAGGACGGAGCACGAGAAACUUUGUCUGAACAUGGGGGGACCAUCCUCCAAGGCUAAAUACUACUGACUGACCGAUAGUGAACCAGUACCGUGAGGGAAAGGCGAAAAGAACCCCGGAGAGGGGAGUGAAAUAGAACCUGAAACCGUAUGCGUACAAGCAGUGGGAGCCUACUUGUUAGGUGACUGCGUACCUUUUGUAUAAUGGGUCAGCGACUUAUAUUCAGUGGCAAGCUUAACCGUAUAGGGUAGGCGUAGCGAAAGCGAGUCUUAAUAGGGCGUUUAGUCGCUGGGUAUAGACCCGAAACCGGGCGAUCUAUCCAUGAGCAGGUUGAAGGUUAGGUAACACUGACUGGAGGACCGAACCCACUCCCGUUGAAAAGGUAGGGGAUGACUUGUGGAUCGGAGUGAAAGGCUAAUCAAGCUCGGAGAUAGCUGGUUCUCCUCGAAAGCUAUUUAGGUAGCGCCUCAUGUAUCACUCUGGGGGGUAGAGCACUGUUUCGGCUAGGGGGUCAUCCCGACUUACCAAACCGAUGCAAACUCCGAAUACCCAGAAGUGCCGAGCAUGGGAGACACACGGCGGGUGCUAACGUCCGUCGUGAAAAGGGAAACAACCCAGACCGCCAGCUAAGGUCCCAAAGUUGUGGUUAAGUGGUAAACGAUGUGGGAAGGCUUAGACAGCUAGGAGGUUGGCUUAGAAGCAGCCACCCUUUAAAGAAAGCGUAAUAGCUCACUAGUCGAGUCGGCCUGCGCGGAAGAUGUAACGGGGCUCAAACCACACACCGAAGCUGCGGGUGUCACGCAAGUGACGCGGUAGAGGAGCGUUCUGUAAGCCUGUGAAGGUGAGUUGAGAAGCUUGCUGGAGGUAUCAGAAGUGCGAAUGCUGACAUGAGUAACGACAAUGGGUGUGAAAAACACCCACGCCGAAAGACCAAGGGUUCCUGCGCAACGUUAAUCGACGCAGGGUUAGUCGGUUCCUAAGGCGAGGCUGAAAAGCGUAGUCGAUGGGAAACAGGUUAAUAUUCCUGUACUUCUGGUUACUGCGAUGGAGGGACGGAGAAGGCUAGGCCAGCUUGGCGUUGGUUGUCCAAGUUUAAGGUGGUAGGCUGAAAUCUUAGGUAAAUCCGGGGUUUCAAGGCCGAGAGCUGAUGACGAGUCGUCUUUUAGAUGACGAAGUGGUUGAUGCCAUGCUUCCAAGAAAAGCUUCUAAGCUUCAGGUAACCAGGAACCGUACCCCAAACCGACACAGGUGGUCGGGUAGAGAAUACCAAGGCGCUUGAGAGAACUCGGGUGAAGGAACUAGGCAAAAUGGCACCGUAACUUCGGGAGAAGGUGCGCCGGCUAGGGUGAAGGAUUUACUCCGUAAGCUCUGGCUGGUCGAAGAUACCAGGCCGCUGCGACUGUUUAUUAAAAACACAGCACUCUGCAAACACGAAAGUGGACGUAUAGGGUGUGACGCCUGCCCGGUGCCGGAAGGUUAAUUGAUGGGGUUAGCGCAAGCGAAGCUCUUGAUCGAAGCCCCGGUAAACGGCGGCCGUAACUAUAACGGUCCUAAGGUAGCGAAAUUCCUUGUCGGGUAAGUUCCGACCUGCACGAAUGGCGUAACGAUGGCGGCGCUGUCUCCACCCGAGACUCAGUGAAAUUGAAAUCGCUGUGAAGAUGCAGUGUAUCCGCGGCUAGACGGAAAGACCCCGUGAACCUUUACUGUAGCUUUGCACUGGACUUUGAGCCUGCUUGUGUAGGAUAGGUGGGAGGCUUUGAAGCGUGGACGCCAGUUCGCGUGGAGCCAUCCUUGAAAUACCACCCUGGCAUGCUUGAGGUUCUAACUCUGGUCCGUGAUCCGGAUCGAGGACAGUGUAUGGUGGGCAGUUUGACUGGGGCGGUCUCCUCCUAAAGAGUAACGGAGGAGUACGAAGGUGCGCUCAGACCGGUCGGAAAU